rnacentral:rRNA from 1 species
AUUGAACGCUGGCGGCAUGCUUUACACAUGCAAGUCGGACGGCAGCACAGAGAAGCUUGCUUCUUGGGUGGCGAGUGGCGAACGGGUGAGUAACAUAUCGGAACGUACCGAGCAGUGGGGGAUAACUAAUCGAAAGAUUAGCUAAUACCGCAUAUAUUCUGAGGAAGAAAGCAGGGGACCAUUUGGCCUUGCGCUGUUUGAGCGGCCGAUAUCUGAUUAGCUAGUUGGUGGGGUAAAGGCCUACCAAGGCGACGAUCAGUAGCGGGUCUGAGAGGAUGAUCCGCCACACUGGGACUGAGACACGGCCCAGACUCCUACGGGAGGCAGCAGUGGGGAAUUUUGGACAAUGGGCGCAAGCCUGAUCCAGCCAUGCCGCGUGUCUGAAGAAAGGCUUCGGGUUGUAAAGGACUUUUGUCAGGGAAGAAAAGGAUAGGGUUAAUACCCCUGUCUGAUGACGUACCUGAA